rnacentral:rRNA from 1 species
GACGAACGCUGGCGGCGUGCUUAAUGAAUGCGAGUCGAGCGAGAACCAGUUGCGUGCUUGCACAAGACUGGGGAGAGCGGCAAACGGGUGAGUAACACGUGGGUAACCUGCCCUGCAGACGGGCACAACAGCUGGAAACGGCUGCUAAUUCCCGAUGGUCUGCAGCGCCUCAAGGCGCUGCAGUAAAGGUUAAUUCCGCUGCAGGAUGGGCCCGCGGGCCAUUAGCUUGUUGGUAGGGUAACGGCCUACCAAGGCGACGAUGGCUAGCCGGUCUGAGAGGAUGGUCGGCCACACUGGGACUGAGACAUGGUCCAGACUCCUCCGGGAGUUAGCAUCAGGGAAUCUUGCGCAAUGGGCGAAAGCCUGACGCAGCGACGCCGCGUGAGGGAUGAAGGUCUGCGGAUCGUAAACCUCUGUAAGCAGGGACGAAUGCCCGGUUCUGCCGGGAGUGACGGUACCUGCAGAGUAAGCUCCGGCUAA